rnacentral:rRNA from 1 species
GAGUUUGAUCCUGGCUCAGGACGAACGCUGGCGGCGUGGAUUAGGCAUGCAAGUCGAGCGACGGACAGACUUCGGUCUGUUACGGAGCGGCGAACGGGUGAGUAACACGUGAACAACCUGUCCCUACAUUCCGGAUAAUUGGCCGAAAGGCCUUGUAAUACGGGCGAGGAUCCAGAGGAGGCAUCUUCUUUGGAGGGAACACGCAAGUGGUGCGGGGAGGGGUUCGCGUCCUAUCAGGUAGUUGGUGAGGUAAUGGCCCACCAAGCCUACGACGAGUAGCUGGUCUGAGAGGAUGGUCAGCCACAUUGGAACUGAGACACUGUCCAGACUCCUACGGGAGGCUGCAGUCGAGAAUCUUGGGCAAUGCACGAAAGUGUGAUGCAGCGACGCCGCGUGGAGGAUGAAGGCCCUUGGGUCGUAAACUCCUUUUGUUGGGGAAGAAUAAAUGACGGUACCCAGCGAAUAAGCCACGGCUAACUACGUGCCAGCAGCCGCGGUAAUACGUAGGUGGCAAGCGUUGUCCGGAUUUACUGGGUGUAAAGGGUGCGCAGGCGGACCUUUAAGUAGAAAGUGAAAGGUUGGAGCUCAACUCCGACACUGCUUCCUAUACUGGGGGUCUUGAGUUUCGGAGGGGGAAGCGGAACGACACGUGUAGCGGUGAAAUGCGUUGAUAUGUGUCGGAACACCAAUGGCGAAAGCAGCUUCCUGGACGAAUACUGACGCUCAGGCACGAAAGCCAAGGUAGCAAACAGGAUUAGAUACCCUGGUAGUCUUGGCCAUAAACGAUGAUCACUAGGUGUCGGGGGUCUCCUCGGUGCCGCAGCUAACGCAUUAAGUGAUCCACCUGGGGACUACGGCCGCAAGGUUGAAACUCAAAGGAAUUGGCGGGGGCCCGCACAAGCGGU